rnacentral:rRNA from 1 species
GAUGAACGCUGGCGGCGUGCUUAACACAUGCAAGUCGAACGGUGAAGCAGGAGCUUGCUCCUGUGGAUCAGUGGCGAACGGGUGAGUAACACGUGAGCAAUCUGCCCUGGACUCUGGGAUAAGCGUUGGAAACGACGUCUAAUACCGGAUACGAGGCGUGGGGGCAUCCCCAACGCCUGGAAAGAACUUCGGUCCAGGAUGAGCUCGCGGCCUAUCAGCUAGUUGGUGAGGUAACGGCUCACCAAGGCGACGACGGGUAGCCGGCCUGAGAGGGUGACCGGCCACACUGGGACUGAGACACGGCCCAGACUCCUACGGGAGGCAGCAGUGGGGAAUAUUGCACAAUGGGCGCAAGCCUGAUGCAGCAACGCCGCGUGAGGGACGACGGCCUUCGGGUUGUAAACCUCUUUUAGCAGGGAAGAAGCGAAAGUGACGGUACCUGCAGAAAAAGCACCGGCUCACUACGUGCCAGCAGCCGCAGUAAAAC